rnacentral:rRNA from 1 species
GAUGAACGCUAGCGGCAGGCCUAACACAUGCAAGUCGAGGGGCAGCACAUAAAGUGGUUUACUACUUUUGGUGGCGACCGGCGGACGGGUGCGUAACGCGUAUGCAACCUGCCUCCAACAGGGGGAUAACGGAGAGAAAUUUCCACUAAUACCCCAUAAUAUCAGAAUCGGCAUCGGUUUUGGUUGAAAACUCCGGUGGUUGGAGAUGGGCAUGCGUUGUAUUAGAUAGUUGGUGAGGUAACGGCUCACCAAGUCAACGAUACAUAGGGGGACUGAGGGGUUAGCCCCCCACACUGGUACUGAGACACGGACCAGACUCCUGCGGGAGGCAGCAGUGACGAAUAUUGGUCAAUGGGGGCAACCCUGAACCAGCCAUGCCGCGUGCAGGAAGACGGCUCUAUGAGUUGUAAACUGCUUUUACAAGGGGAUAAAUCGGUGUACGUGUACACCGUUGAAGGUACCUUGGGAAUAAGGAUCGGCUAACUCCGUGCCAGCAGCCGCAGUAA